rnacentral:sRNA from 1 species
AUGAAUUAGGAGAGAAAGGGGCUCUCAGGAAAGCAGCUGUGAGAGAGACCACUCAGAAGAGCCUUGCUUCUGGAAGUAGCAAUCUGUCUGCCUGCACCUGUCAAUCACGGCCCUUGUCACAGUAUUUGCUUUCACUGUGCUCUGGAGGGAAAAGCUUAAAGGCAAACUUGCUCCCUGUUCCUCAGGCAGGCAGCAAGCAGACAGCACAGCACGCUUCCCCCGCAGACGGACGCCCUCUGCAUCACCAACCGAUUAAGGCAUCCAUUCGGCUCCAGAUGCUGCUGUUCUGAGUGUUGGAGA